CCCCCUUCUCCCUCAACUCGCUGGCCGGCGAAGUAACGGACACGGUGGCCGCCAUCUUGAAUUAGCAACAGGAUCGCCGCUUGUCAUUGGCUGGACGGAUUGAACCAACACGGACGUCCACCGCUGAGUCAAGCUACGAUUGAGUGCUCAGACAGCAGUGGCCAAGAGGGAGGCCAGGACCCCUGGAAGUGGCCGAGGUGGUGGCCAGACCCUGCAAUUGACCAAGUGUGAAAAUGGAGUGGCUGAGAUGGAAGCCAAGGAUCCUGGAAGCAAAGGCAAUUUGAACAAUCCAUUCAACUGCAACUGUGAACUGACAGUGAGAAACCUGCAAUGCUGCAAUUUAGCUUCUGAAAUAUUGGAAACAACUCCUGAAAUUUGGGUCGACGAGCUGGGUCAGAUUCCCAACACUUGUUCAUCAGCUGAUAAACCUGGAGGGGACAAGAUGGAGGUUUGAACUGAAACUCUGGUUCAUAGACUUAAACCAGAAUACCACCUUGGUGAAGGAGUUGAAAGCAACGUCAGGAACAGCCACCUGAAGGAUCAUUAAAGAAUUUAUUUCCAUUGAAGUCGUCUGCUUGCAUUCAGUAAGGAGGUUGCUCUCCAUUUUAGUGCCUGGUGGUUCAACUAAUGCCUUCCGCCAUCAACAACCAACUGGCUUGUAAUAAAGAAAGUCACAGGGUAU